GAGACAAUCUGAUCUAAAUUAAAAGAGAAAUGUCUCCUGAUCGUGAAUAUUUUCAUCAUCAUCAUCUGAAUUUAUAGACACCACUCCACCCCUACUCUCUGUAGAGCACUGUACUAUUGGUUGUGCCAACUCUACUUUAUUCUCCCUUAGAACCUACUACUUAGUACGGUGCCCUGCACACAGUAGGCAGUCAAGAAAUAACAUUGAAUAAUCCAAGAUCCUUGGAAGAGGCCAUCUAACAAAAACAGAAGACACCGUGUCUUUGUCCUUGAGGAAUCUGCAGGCAAAUGAAGAAUUUCCAAGCUAAUGUUUGAAACAUCUUCAGAAUUUUCCAGAGGCUAAUGAAUAUUAAUUGGUGAAAUUAUUCACAGGAUUGGCAGUUGCUAAGAGAACUAUUUUAAGUGUGAUUCCAACAAAUCGGAAAUUGACCACCUGGCUGAACAACAUGGACCAAUGCAGAGAAAUGAGAAAACUUGCUGGAUUUCUAAAAAUGAUAUACUCUGUAAUGGAGAAGCAUGUGAAAUCUGAGGGCCUGUGAUUUCUUCCAUGGUUAUUCUCUUGGAAAAUGUGAAAUAGACUCUACGGCCAUAUUGGAAUCCAUUGGAAAUAAGGGAGAAGAGGCAUGUGGAAUCUAUUGGUAAUUGGAACAGCUCCUUUUAAAAGGCCUGUAGAAUGGGGCCCCAUAC